AGUGAACGCUGGCGGUAGGCCUAACACAUGCAAGUCGAACGGCAGCACAGUAAGAGCUUGCUCUUACGGGUGGCGAGUGGCGGACGGGUGAGGAAUACAUCGGAAUCUACUUUUUCGUGGGGGAUAACGUAGGGAAACUUACGCUAAUACCGCAUACGACCUACGGGUGAAAGCAGGGGAUCUUCGGACCUUGCGCGAUUGAAUGAGCCGAUGUCGGAUUAGCUAGUUGGCGGGGUAAAGGCCCACCAAGGCGACGAUCCGUAGCUGGUCUGAGAGGAUGAUCAGCCACACUGGAACUGGGACACGGUCCAGACUCCUACGGGAGGCAGCAGUGGGGAAUAUUGGACAAUGGGCGGAAGCCUGAUCCAGCCAUACCGCGUGGGUGAAGAAGGCCUUCGGGUUGGAAAGCCCUUUUGUUGGGAAAGAAAAGCAGCAGGUUAAGACCCCGCUGUUCUGACGGUACCCAAAGAAUAAGCACCGGCUAACUUCGUG
rnacentral:rRNA from 1 species